CUAUAACUCCUGCCUACAGUUUGUUGAUUUUUCCAGGGUUUUAUUUUGUGCUUUAAGAGGCAAACCAGAAUAAAAAAAACUUCGUGCUUUAGGAGGCAAACCAUAAUCAGAAAGACUAUGAUGAAGAAGAAUAAAAAAGGAGGUAUACGCAUAAAUAAAAACCCUAAGGUUUGUUCUUUUAAUCUUUUGUUUAUCUCCCGUUUUUCCUGGACCUUAUUUUGUUGUCGAUUUUUUUUUUCUUUAGGGUUAAUUCGAAGGUUGGGUUCUCUGAUUUAUCGUGUUUUCUCUGAUAUUUUUAGGGUUAAUCUUUAGGUUAUCUCCCGUUUUUAUUUUUAUGAUUUUAGUGUACUUGAUCAAGUGUUCUUUUGAUUGAGGAAUUUAAUUGGUUAAUGGUUGUCUGAUUUUCCGUGUUUUCAGUUUACUAUUAGGGUUUGUAAAAUUCGUAAUUUUGGUUUAUUGAUUGAAAGAUAAUAGGUUACUGAUUUGGGCUAUGUUUUGCUAUUCCACACCAACAAAAAUCAACCAGGAGACAAUUUCCAUAUGUUUCCCAACCCUUCUACUUUCUUUAUUUUUGCAUUUCUUUUUCUUUUUUGUUUUGGAUUUUUGAUUAUAUCCUGGAUUUUAAACAAGUUAGUUUGUAAAAAUAUUAGAUCCAAUUUUAUUAAGGUAUUAGUUGGUGCUUUUUGCUAUAAUUAUUUUUAUCCUUCAUGAAAUUUCUGUCUGGUCAGAUGCUUUAGUUUAUAUGCCAUGCUGCAUAUAAGAAGUUGAUGGAAAAAAAAUCAUAGCUCUUCGAACAUGUCUCCCUAGGUAUUCCUUUCUCUUUGAAUAAUUCGAUUACUUACAUAUAAAAUGGUUUGUGGUGUGUGGUGAACUAUUUUGCUUAUGUACUGCAUAGAACUAAAUUUAUUCCUGUGACUUAUAUCAAUUUGGAAAGAAAUUAGGUUUUUUGCCGUAAACUUAUGGUGGAGACUCAAACUGUAAGGCUAUCUGUAUUGAAACAUGGCUAGAGCAGCACAAUGGUUUGUAUUCAACUAAACAAUAGGAGGAGCAUCAGAUUUCGGGGAAUCCAUUUAGUUUAUUCCAUCGGUUUGUUUUGCGGGUUUUCUUUUAUUUUGUGUUCUAAUAAAUUUUUAUGUUUAAUCAUUGACGAAGGUACUAUAUUGAAGAAGAUAAAGAUAUAUGAGUGCCUCGUCAAUGACAAUGGUAGCAAAGUCUAUACUAUCAAGGUAAACAAAAUCAGACUCUAAAAAAAAUUAUAGUUCAGGCUAGGGUUUAUUUUGCAACUUUUGGUUGGAUAUUUUUCUUAUGGAAUUAACUUUAGAUUGUUAUAGAGGACAAUGAAAGUAAUCUUGAUCUGUUGUAGUUGCAAUCACUGAGAAGAUUUUAUUAGAGGUGAUAGGGAUUGUCGAAUCCACAGUAUCUGAUCAUUCUUCUUUUAUCGGUUUGGUUCUUGAUUACUUAGUGAGGAAUUGUUCAAUUUAGUACCAUGAAUUGUGGAUGAUUAAUUUUAAAUCCUAACGGAUUUUUGGUUUAGAUCAUUGGUGUGUUGCUUUAUUGAAGAGAUCUCUUUUAAGGUAGUGCACUUUUCUCUUUGCUUCGCUGCUUUCCAAUUUUUCAGUUCUAAACUCUGUAUAGAUUUGUCAAGUAAGCCUGAUUGGAGAUGUAGCCUUGACGUCAUGUCAAUUUUUUAUAUCGCCCAUUCGUUACGUUGCUUGAUAUAACUAUUUGCUCAGUUUUAGAGCAAAUUUUUUAAUGGAAGCUUCUUAGUUUUUGUACUUGCAGGAAAGUACUACACUGGCGGUGUGAGGUGAGUUUUAUUAUCUCGAGGGCACUCAUGUAUCAAUAUAGUCACGGAUACACAUUUGCACAUUUAUACUACAUUCAUUCAUCGAGGGCACUCGUGUAUUCAGUUUGUGGAGCGAAUUUUAUGAGUAUAUUGAUUCAUGGAGUUCAUGCAUCAAAAAAAAUAAAAAUUGAUUCAUGGAAAGCACUUACGGUAUUCAAGUAUAUAAUUGGUUUUUAAUUUGUGAGCAUUCCGGUUCCUACAAUCAUUGUUUGUUAAUUUAACUCAUUUUUAUGUAGGCUAAAGUGCCAUUGGAAAGACAAGCUCUCUUUGCCAAAUGUUUUAGAAGAUUAAGAACUCGCGUAGGCAGAAUCGACAAUUGAAGAGCUUAAUGUGAAAAUACGAGAAUGCAAAAGAACGUUAUCGUGGUUCUAUCUACUUGGUCCACUAUACGUAUUUUCUGCGACUUCUCAAGAUAUAAGUGCAUGCAUAUGAGGCAGGUUUUUUAGAAGGAGCAGAACUGGAUGAGGAACCUGUAAACUAGAAUAGUAAAAGGAAGGAUGCACUAGGAAUCGUGAACAAGCUGCUUAAUCCAUUUCAUUGCUCUUGAACUGUAUCACAUCCUUGAUAAUGGUAUCUUGCAAUAAGUCCAAAUGAUAUUGUGGGGGUGGUGGAGGAGGGCCUGAGCCAAGAGAUGAGGUGGGGAUGGUGGUUUUGGGCGAGUAGAGAUUCGGUGUUGGAUCUGGUGUUGGUCGUGUCGUUGGAUUGUAUUUGGUGGUGGUAGUGGCGGCUUAAGUGGUUGCAUAAGGAAUUUCAUUUCUUUAUUUUCUAAAAUUUUAUGUUUAGAAUUAGCAAAACAUGCGUAUACAUAAAUUCUUAUCAUCCAUGAUAAUAUUUGUGAGACA